CACUGUAUAGCUACUCCAGCAUUAACCUUUUAAGUUAAAGACGGGGAUACACCCCCUGCAGUGA
rnacentral:tRNA from 1 species